rnacentral:rRNA from 1 species
UGGGGAAUCUUGGACAAUGGGGGCAACCCUGAUCCAGCCAUGCCGCGUGAGUGAUGAAGGCCUUAGGGUCGUAAAGCUCUUUCGCCUGUGAAGAUAAUGACGGUAGCAGGUAAAGAAACCCCGGCUAACUCCGUGCCAGCAGCCGCGGUAAUACGGAGGGGGUUAGCGUUGUUCGGAAUUACUGGGCGUAAAGCGCACGUAGGCGGACCAGAAAGUUGGGGGUGAAAUCCCGGGGGCUCAACCCCGGAACUGCCUCCAAAACUAUUGGUCUAGAGUUCGAGAGAGGUGAGUGGAAUUCCAAGUGUAGCGGUGAAAUGCGUAGAUAUGUGGAGGAAUACCGGUGGCGAAGGCGGCCUCCUGGCUCGAUACUGACGCUGAGGUGCGAAAGCGUGGGGAAGCAAACAGGAUUAGAUACCCUGGUAGUCCACACCGUAAACGAUGAAUGCCAGUCGUCGGGUAGCAUGCUAUUCGGUGACACACCUAA